GUGUCAGCAGCCGCGGUAAUACGGAGGAUUCGAGCGUUAUCCGGAUUUAUUGGGUUUAAAGGGUGCGUAGGCGGUUAGAUAAGUUUGAGGUUAAAUGCUUCUGCUCAACAGGAGUUUGCCUUGAAAACUGUCUGACUAGGAUGUAAACGGCGCAGGCGGAAUGAAUCAUGUAGCGGUGACAUGCAUAGAUAUGAUUCAGAACACCGAUCGCGAAGGCAGCUUGCGAGGAUACGAUUGACGCUGAAGCACGAAAGCGUGGGUAUCGAACAGGAUUAGAUACCCUGGUAGUCCACGCUGUAAACGAUGAUAACCAGAUGUUGGCGAUAGAAUGUCAGUGUCGGAACGAAAGAGCUAAGUUAUCCACCUGGGGAGUACGAUCGCAAGGUUGAA
rnacentral:rRNA from 1 species